AUGUCUGAAAGACAGAAAAUAAGGUUCCUCCAGCAGAGAGAAACAGAAACUUUCUCCUUAAAGCAUCCGGCUGUGAUGUUCUUUACAUUCCAGACUCCAUUAACAUUUCAGGGGAUUUCAGCGGCUCUUUGUACGAGACUGUUGAGACUUUCAGUGAACAGAUUCUGUCAAACAGUUUCUUUCUGGAGUCAUAUCUUAUCUUAGAGUUACUGUCGAAGCUAAAACAGGUUAUGAAGCUGCUCGUUAACAAACUGUCCCGUUAGUGACCGACUCAUGUUCUGAACCUCGGCCAACUUCCUCCUUUCCUGUACUUAGAGAUGCUACAUGCUAGGCUAAUCUAUGUUGAAUUGUCUAUCAAUCGUUAGCUAUCGCGUGUAGCUAGCUGGCUAGCAAUUCAUUUUGAUGGGCUAGCUCGUGUUUUGCUACAGAGCAGAUUAGCUUAGCAUGUAGCAUAUCUAAGUACAGGAAAGGAGGAAGUUGACCGAGGUUCUGAACUGUGAUUGGAGCACAGAGUGAAAAGGGGCGGGGCUUAGGACAGUUGAAUCUGAACACAAGUUUUAACUCAUUUAGCCGAUAGCAUCCUGGCAAAGCAUCAUGGGAAUUAUAGUUUAUAUUUAAUCUUGAACUGUGGCUACAUGGACGCUGUUAGCGUUUUAUAUUCAUUUGACUUUAACGUCGUUCACAGAAUAAAUAGUUUAUCACUGCUGUUCUCGGGCUUCAUUUGAAAAGCAUUCUGGGAAGUGUAGGAAAAGAACGAGUCAAUGUGGAACAUCACAAACUGAUGAUAUUUAAGAGUUUAUAGAUUUAAAGUGAAACUCUUCCUGCUGGAGGAACCUGAGAUCUUCUUUCUGCCCCGAAUGGAAAACAGCUGUUUAAUAAUAAUAAUAAUAAUAAUCUCAUUAACUCAAACCAACAAGGUGUUCAUCUGUCGCUCAGCUCAGAGCCGAUUCGUUUGGGGACUAUUUUCAGCGGCGGAUUGAUCCACAUUUGGUGCUCUAGUGCGUAUUCGGGGCAGUGUGUGUGUUCGUGGUAAUGAAGGAACACGUCACCGAGGACACACACACACACAAGACAUUGUUGGUUUGAGUCCAUAUGAAAUAACAGCUCCUGUAUAUUAGGGUUGUUUUUCACCGCCUUGCUCAGCGGCACUGCGGCAGAGCAGCUGAACCCGCAGCAGUUUUCACUCUGCUGGUUGUUUGUUUUUUUUUUGUCUUUUUGGAAACAAAAUGUAGGUAUUUAUGUAAAAAAAUGGAUUUGAAAAAAAGUAUUCUAUGCAUCUGAUGUGUAUAUAAUGAUAAUAAUAAUAAUAACGUGUGGACUGUUUGUUUGUUUGUUUGUUUGUUUGUUUGUUUGUUUCUUUCACUGCAUCCGUUCAUCUGUUUGUUUUCUGCUUCCCGGACAGAUUUACCUCAUCAUCUCCUUAUGUAGCACUUCUUCUUCUUCUUCUUAGUCAGAUCUAUUUUUUCAUCGUUUUAGGAUCGAAUGCACUAACUGUACAACUCGCCUCCUUUCAGGAAGGAGACACGGGACAGAAGCUUUGUACUUCCUGUGUUCAGAUUUGGAAAAAAUAUAAAUAAAAUGAAAUGAAAUCAAACGUUUGGUUUAAAUCUGCUGAUGUGAAGAAGAACCAGAACCAGAUCGUCUGCAGCUGUUCCUUCCUCUUUUAUUUUAUAAUUUAAGAAAUACAUCCGUCGGUUUUCCUCUUUUAUAAGUUUAAUUAUGUUAUUUUUUAAACUUAAACUCACAAUCAGGUGUCUUAUGUUUUAAUUUGUGUUUGUAUAAUUAAAACUGAUUUUGCUUUAUAAGAACAGAAAACAGAAACACUGAAAUGUGAUGUGAGUCCUUUAAAAAACAAAGUUUUAUAAUUGGCAGAAUAUUUUGUUCUAAAAGAAAAAAUUACAGUUUAAUUUCGAUUUAAUACAGUUUGAAUUUUAAAAGAAAGAUUUUUUUAUUUUUCGUUUUUAGUGUAACAGAGUUUGUAUUAUUAUUAUUAUUAUUAUUAUUAUUAUUAUAAUUAUUAUGAUCCUACAGUAAUAACCGCCUACAGACAGAGUGCAGUUAAAUAAAUAAAUAUAACUCAGAGUUUUUAAAGAACACUGUAAUGAGUCGCAGUUUGUCCUGAAGGAAGAACAGAAACAUGUUCAUAGAAAUAUUAGAGCAGAAGCACAGAGGGCCGUCACACCUUGAGAUUCCCCCCGCAGGUCGAAGCUGAUCCUCGGCUGCAGCGGCGGCUCAGUCCCGGUCCUCCGGUCCUCCUGCAGCCGUGGACUGAGGCCUCUGCCCGCAGCUGCUGCUCCGGGAGCUCCGGCCUCUCUGCGGGAGACAGUUUUGUAUAUCUAUAGAUAUAUAUAUAUCUAAAGCUCAUACUGACGGACUGUUUGCAGAUUCAGAGGAAAUAAUUAAUCUUCCUGUUAAACUCUAAUUCUCUCUGAGUCAACGGCAGUUUGAAAUAAAUAAUUAAACAAAAACUCGUUUCAGUUCGUUAAAACUAUCAAAACUUUUUUAGAAAAACGAGUUCAACCCCGAAUUAGAUUUUAUUAAACUUUCUGAUGUUUGCAGCAGAAUUUAUUAAAACAAACAGUUAUAAGUUAUAAUACAUUAAAAACAGGAGGAGUCUGAAGUUAUCAUUUAUAAUCUCUGAAAAACAUUAAAGCUAAAGUGAAUUAAUAAACUAAUAAAGUAAUAAAUGAAGCUCUGCAGGCUGUUGAAUACAAACAUUUAUUCUACAGAUAUAAAAACACGACCCAACUGAUGUCACAUCAUAAUCAUUUUAAUAUUUAUUAAAAUAAGUUAUAUUGAAAUAUCUGUCAAAACACUUUGAAUAUGACUGUUUUUUAUCCAGCAGACAGAAAUAUUUCAUCCAUUCAUGUUGAAGUUUAUUUGUUCAGGAAACUUUCAGCUUUAAAACUGUCUUUAGAGAGAAAAAUGGGAAUAUUACAGGAACAAUAUUCAUAUAGUAGCAGCCAUUGUAAUAGUUAUAAUAUUAUACAUAUAUUAUAUAUUAUUAUGAUAUAAAAAAUAGAUUAUGACAUCAAAGGUCCAGAUUAUGAGGAAAAGUCAGUUACUUGAUGACUGACACAAUGAGACACAGACACAUUAAAUUCAUUUCAGUUUGAAUCAGGAUCAUUUAUAUAUAAUAGUUAUUAACUAGAUUAUUAUUAUUUAUACAUUUUAAACCUUUUUAGAAGAUAAAACUGUUUAUUGCCAUAAAUACCAGC
ensembl:lncRNA